rnacentral:misc_RNA from 1 species
AACGUUAUAUCACGGGGGCCGGCCUUGAAUUGCUUCGAGUUCCAUUGCGAAUGGCUCUUGCCAAUCCAGUGUGAUAAAAACUCAGCAUUUCUCCCCGCCCUGUCGGAACACUACCCAUGAUUUUUGCGCACCCAUUGUUUCCUCGGCAGGCUUGCUUGCCAGUAGGACCCUUUUUAAACCUUUUGCAAUUGCAGUCAGCGUCAGAAAAACUUUAAUAGUUA